rnacentral:rRNA from 1 species
UUUCGGUCAAGCCCCGGACUGUUUUAGUGGCGGACGGGUGAGUAACGCGUGGGCAACCUGCCCCGUACCGGGGGAUAACACCUGGAAACAGGUGCUAAUACCGCAUAAUAAGAGGUUCCGCAUGGGGCCUCCUUGAAAACUCCGGUGGUACGGGAUGGACCCGCGUCUGAUUAGCUGGUUGGCGGGGUAACGGCCCACCAAGGCGACGAUCAGUAGCCGGCCUGAGAGGGUGGACGGCCACAUUGGGACUGAGACACGGCCCAGACUCCUACGGGAGGCAGCAG